AUCCUUUUGUAGUUCAUAAGCGUGAUGAUUGGGUCUUCACUCGCUAUGCGUGAGAUGUGCCUCCCUCAAACCUUGUUACGACAUCGGCACAUUACCCGUCUGACG
rnacentral:snoRNA from 1 species